GUAGGGGGGGCGAACGUUGUCCGGAUUUAUUGGGCGUAAAGGGCUCGUAGGCGGCUUGACAAGUCGAUCGUGAAAACCCGGGGGCUCAACCCCGGGACGCCGGUCGAAACUGUCAUGGCUAGGGUCCGGUAGAGGUGAGUGGAAUUCUCGGUGUAGCGGUGAAAUGCGCAGAUAUCGAGAGGAGCACCAGUAGCGAAGGCGGCUCACUGGGCCGGUACCGACGCUAAGGAGCGAAAGCGUGGGGAGCAAACAGGAUUAGAUACCCUGGUAGUCCACGCCGUAAACGUUGAACACUAGGUGUGGCGGACAUAUCCACGUCUGCUGUGCCGCAGCUAACGCAUUAAGUGUUCCGCCUGGGGAGUACGGCCGCAAGGCU
rnacentral:rRNA from 1 species